rnacentral:misc_RNA from 1 species
GAUGAAGAACGUAGUGAAAUGCGAUAAGUAGUGUGAAUUGCAGAAUUCAGUGAGUCAUCGAAUCUUUGAACGCACAUUGCGCCCCUUGGUUAUUCCGAAGGGCAUGCCUGUUCGAGCGUCAUUAUCACCCCUCAAGCCCUGGCUUGGUGUUGGACUUUAGUUAUAGCUUUGCCUAUCAACUGGUCUCAAAGAUAGUGACGGCGCCCCAGAGGGAACCGGGUACGAGGAGCUUUUUACUAAGCAUGUAUCUGGGACGACUCUGGGCGACGGUCUUGUUAUACUUUUUACCUAAGUGUUGACCUCGGAUCAGGUAGGAAUACCCGCUGAACUUAAGCAUAUCAAUAAGCGGAGGA